AGAAAUUCAGAAAUGGAACUACUAAAGGCCAUUGAUGCUCAGACUCCUGCUGUUGAUUGUUGCUGACUCUUGGAUCCUUAUCAAACCUAUCACUGCAGUUGAUAAACUAGUGUAGUGAAGAUAUGAAAGUUGUUUGGUAUAUUCAUUUAUGAUAAUGAGUAGAAUGAAAGUGGAACAAGAAAGAUAUAGAGAGAGAGAGAGUGAAUCACACAUUAUAUAGUUACAUAGUACACUAACUGGUACCUAAAUCUGACAGUGAGGAUCAACAGUGAUCCUAAGAGAAGAACUCAAACUGGAAUUUCAGGAAAAAAAAUCUUCUAGAGAUAAAUGAUGAUUCCAAGAGAUGUGUGACAAGAAUGUUUCAAGAGAUAGUCUAUUGAAUCCAUUGAGAUGCCCCGAGCUUGAAAGAUAAUGGAAGAGGCAAUACCAACACAGAUUAAAGACACUGCCAGAUCAGCAUAUAACUUGUAGAGGCUAUGUAGAAUUGUGAAAGUAAAGUCAUUUGGAAGAUGAGUAUAUACUGUUUUUUUCAAUAUCCAAAGUGAGAUGAAUUGAUUAGUGUGGAAAAUUUGUCCAGCAAUGAAGAUUUUGAGCAUCAAGAAGGAGGAUAUAUGAUUUGAUGGGAAGAAAAUGGUGGUACAUCCUUUGCAGAUUAAAAG
rnacentral:lncRNA from 1 species